rnacentral:RNase_P_RNA from 2 species
AUUUUCGGGUAAUCGCUGCAAUGCUAGACAUUGUCGAGGAAAGUCCAUGCUCGCACGGUUCUGAGAUGACCGUAGUGUUCGUGCUUAGUGAAUAAAUAAGCUAAGGCAGUCUUAAGGCUGACGGCGGGAGGAAGACCUAAGUCCUUUUGGGAUAUGGUUGAAACUCUCUGAAAGUGCCACAGUGACGAAGCUGGUGCGGAAACGUAACAGGUGGAACGAGGUAAACCCCACGAGUGAGAAACCCAAAUUAUGGUAGGGGCAUUCUCCUGAAGGAAAUGAAUGGAUGGAGAGACGUGAGUGCUUGCACAUCACGUAGAUAGAUGAUUACUACCCGGCUGUACGAGAUGCAAAUCGUUUGAGUACUCGGGCACAAAACAUGGCUUAUUGAA